GAACAGGCUGGGAGGAUGGGUACCAGGACAGGAACAAGGACAUGGAUUGCCUCAUGAAGAUAGGUUCGGCCAAACUCAGCAAACCGCUCAAAGAAUCUGGAAUAGAAAGCCGCUGGAAACUGGAGCACCGGAGCUGGAAAGAAGCUCAAGCUGAGAGAAGCAGACCCACGCACACAACUGCCCCUCACUGGCCGAAGGUAAGCAGUUGGACGCUAU